rnacentral:rRNA from 1 species
CUACGGGAGGCAGCAGUGGGGAAUCUUGCACAAUGGGGGAAACCCUGAUGCAGCGACGCCGCGUGAGCGAUGAAGCCCUUCGGGGUGUAAAGCUCUUUCGACGGGAACGAUUAUGACGGUACCCGGAGAAGAAGCUGCGGCUAACUACGUGCCAGCAGCCGCGGUAAUACGUAGGCAGCAAGCGUUGUUCGGAGUUACUGGGCGUAAAGAGUACGUAGGCGGUUUGCUAAGUCUGGUGUGAAAUCUCCUGGCUUAACUGGGAGGGUGCGCUAGAUACUGGCAGGCUUGAGUAUGGGAGAGGAGAGUGGAAUUCCUGGUGUAGCGGUGAAAUGCGUAGAUAUCAGGAGGAACGCCGGUGGUGUAGACGGCUCUCUGGACCAUUGCUGACGCUGAGGUACGAAAGCGUGGGUAGCAAACAGGAUUAGAAACCCGUGUAGUCC